GUCAGUCAGAGCUACCGUUGCAAUGCUUUGUCUUUCUCAUUUCUUAAUUCUUUCCCAGUUUAUAUUAAUACCGUUAUGCCACUUACAGUUUCUUUUACUCUGUUUCAGAAAACUUCUUCUCCGGAGAAAACAAGAGAGGCUUUGCAGCUUUGGCUUCCUAAGGAAGAAUGGGUCCCAAUCAACCCUCUUUUGGUGGGAUUUGGACAAACAAUUUGUACCCCAGUUAGACCUCACUGCGAAAUUUGCAGUGUUAGCAAGCUUUGUCCAUCUGCAUUCAAGGAGAUCUCAGGACCAUCACCCAAGGUAAAGAAGUCUGGUUCAAGCAAGAAGCAUUCACCAAAUUAGCUUUUCAAACAGCCAUGUCUAUAUUGUUUUGCUGCCAUACAGUCAUUUUUUGGCCUCCGUAUUAUUCUCGACCACUAAUAGUUUGUGGAUGCUUACUUCAGACUAAAAGUAGCUUUUAGGAGUUCAUUAGGCAGACUUCUGGAAAGGAUGCUUUCGUGUGUGUGUGUGUGUGUGUAUAUUUUGAAUUAUAAAAGCAAUUCUCAAAUCGUCUUGAUUCUUGCAGCAA